rnacentral:lncRNA from 10 species
ACUACACCAAGAAUUAAGGAAGCCUGGAAAAUCACAUUAAUUACAUAUCAAAAUAUAGUGGAGAGAUGUGGAACAGAUGACUUGCAGUUCAGAAGAAGGAAGCUGACCUGAAGUGAGCUGACAAUCACUGAAAUCUUUAUUCCCUGGACACACUUGCCUCUUCUUGCUAUAGACUGAGAAUUAAGCUCAUCCCAUAAAGAGGUGCUUUUCUGGGGAAAGAGAAACCAAAAAAGUCUUAAUGUUUUAUAUCACUUUAUUUCUCCUAGUAACCUCCAAUUCUCCUACCCCAGAAAUGCAUUUUUUAAUCCAUGCAAUUAUUUUCUUUUGUCCUUCUUAAUGAAUCAUUCCGCACAUCAUACACACACACACACACACACACACACACACACACACAUCACAUUCAUGCUGCACUAUUUUGCAUGAUGGGUUACCAUUUGUGUGUGCUAUUUUAAACACACCUGUUACCAUUUUUCUCCUAUGGACCAAUCCACACAAACUUGAUACUAUCUACUCACAAAUUAUUCUCACAAAUUUCCAAUACAAAAUUAGAAAUGUUCCAAAAUUGAGUCUACAAAGAAAGACCAUUUCUUAGACUGGAAAAUAUAGGAGGCAAUACAAAGUUAAAGAAUGUAAACUUACUUCCAGGCAAGGCGUGGUGGCUCACACCUGUACUUCCAGCACUUUGGGAGGCUGAGAUGAGAGGAUGACUGGAGGCCAGGAGUUUGAGACUGACCAACAUAGCGAGACCCCAUGUCUACAAACAAACAAAUGACAACAACAAACAUAAACUUCAACUGCAGAACUUCCCUUAGAGCUGGAGUUUAUAUAGAGCCAAUAAUUUUUAUAUUAAUAUUUUUUCACAAUAUUACUCUACAGUGUGUUUUCUUCCCUCAUAGAAUGCGGGUAAUAUGUCAAAUGCCUCCUUUAGAGACUGUCUUUCUUUUUGUUUUAAGAAGAAGUGUUAUGGGAUAUUUACCCUAUGUUACUCUGAAGAAUUUGUUAAUCCAAGCCUGACUGAAUCCAUCAUAUUAACUUUUUUUUUCUUUUUGUAAACUUGAGUUUAAUUAAUGAAAUGGAUGAUUUUUAGAGGAGAAAACUCAAUAUUCAUUACCCAUUUAAUAUUUUCUUUUGCCGAAAUCAUCUUCAGUAGGGUGAGAAGAAUGAUCACAGAAGAUAAAUAAGCACAGAGCCAGACAUACCAACCACUAAUUAGG